GGCCUAGUGGUCUAGGGGCAUGAUACUCGCUUUGGGUGCGAUUGGUCCCGGGCUCGAAUCCAGGCUGGGCCC
rnacentral:tRNA from 1 species